rnacentral:lncRNA from 10 species
CUGCUUAUGAGCAACAGCUGGGAGCCAAGCGCUUGUAUUUACACAGCUAAGGCCACAGUCCCUGCAACGGAUGAGGAGGGAGCCGUGUGUUGAAUCACAGAGAAAAUUAGUUGUUUAUGGUCAUUUACGUUGGGAAUUAUUCUUAUAAAAUCUGCCCUUGUUUCAUUUGGCUCUGAUUACAUGUUGAUGAGAUUGUGGACAACUUCGUCAAGGUGCACCAACAUGAAGCCCUUUGUUGGAAAGGGCUCAGAAGAGAGAUGGAAAUGAUUAAUGGUUGGCGAACACAAGAAUCUUAGGGAUUCACAGCUUCCCUGCCAGCCUUCCCGGGACUGCUGGGCUGUGGCCGUGUGCACCCUCCACCUCAGCUCACAACUCCUUAUCUGAUCGCCCAUGUCCUCAUCACUGAAUUGAAAACAACUCCCUUCCUCCUGGCCUGGGGUCCUUCCUCAUGGUCUGGGGUCCCUGAAGCCCUGACACGCAGCCUCUUUCUCUCUGAUUUCACCUCCUCUGUCCCCCAACUGGACACAGCACUGUGCCUUCAGGACCCACUGACCCCAUCUCCUCACAGAGACCCUGGUGUCUGGCUCUCAUGGGCCCAGCCCCCAGGAAACGUAGGCCACUGUCCUCACAGCAGGGGAGGAGGAGCAAGGACCGGCAGCCGGCGUUCUGAGGAGUGAGAUCUCUGAAUGGAGAAGGAGGCAAGCCUGCAGGCCCAGCGUGCUCCUGCAUGAUGGGCCACAACAGAAAGCUCAUAUGUGAUAUGGCUUUAAGCAGAAAACCAGGGCGGCAGGACAGCAAAGGAAGGGUCUUGGGGAAGGCCCCGAGCUGGGCAGGGACUUUGGAGUUGCUUUGUUGGGGGGCUGGCUUGUGGGAGGCUGCUUUGUGGUGGGCACGGAGCAUGGAGGUCGGGCUCAAAACCAUAUUUUACAAGCCAGCCUCCUCCCCACUGCCAGGUUGGGAAUUUGGGAGAAAGCGGCCGCAGAAGGCAUCUGGGGUCUCGGGAGAUGAGGCCGCGGACGAUUGCACUGGUCCUCCAGGCUCUUCCCCCAGCUCAUCCUUCCAACCGUCUUAGUUACUAUGGUAGCAAGAAUUUGUCAUGUUCUCUUGCUUGUUGAGGGCUUUUUUUUUCUUUUUUUUCUUUUUGAUUUCUAAAUAAAGUCUCAAUCUCACCAUGAGCUCCUGUCCACACGGAUUUGCUUCUGGCCGAGGGCUGCUCAGGACCUGGAAGGUCUGUGCGGGGUCAGCACGGUGGCCGCAGAGCCCCGGGCCGGGGGAGCCUGUGUCUCAGCCCCUCCCCACUCACACUGAAAGGUCCUCUCCUCGACCCAGAAGCAGGGGAAGGGAGAGGUGGGGUCAGGAACAUAGGCCCCUCUCUCCCACACUGGAGUUCAG